GNAAGUCGAACGAUGAAGCCCAGCUUGCUGGGUGGAUUAGUGGCGAACGGGUGAGUAACACGUGAGUAACCUGCCCCUGACUCUGGGAUAAGCCCGGGAAACUGGGUCUAAUACCGGAUAUGACCAUGGGACGCAUGUCUUGUGGUGGAAAGAUUUAUCGGUUGGGGAUGGACUCGCGGCCUAUCAGCUUGUUGGUGAGGUAAUGGCUCACCAAGGCGACGACGGGUAGCCGGCCUGAGAGGGUGACCGGCCACACUGGGACUGAGACACGGCCCAGACUCCUACGGGAGGCAGCAGUGGGGAAUAUUGCACAAUGGGCGCAAGCCUGAUGCAGCGACGCCGCGUGAGGGAUGACGGCCUUCGGGUUGUAAACCUCUUUCAGUAGGGAAGAAGCGAGAGUGACGGUACCUGCAGAAGAAGCGCCGGCUAACUACGUGCCAGCAGCCGCGGUAAUACGUAGGGCGCAAGCGUUAUCCGGAUUUAUUGGGCGUAAAGAGCUCGUAGGCGGUUUGUCGCGUCUGCCGUGAAAGUCCGAGGCUCAACCUCGGAUCUGCGGUGGGUACGGGCAGACUAGAGUGAUGUAGGGGAGACUGGAAUUCCUGGUGUAGCGGUGAAAUGCGCAGAUAUCAGGAGGAACACCGAUGGCGAANGCAGGUCUCUGGGCAUUUACUGACGCUGANGAGCGAAAGCAUGGGGAGCGAACAGGAUUAGAUACCCUGGUAGUCCAUGCCGUAAACGUUGGGCACUAGGUGUGGGGGACAUUCCACGUUUUCCGC
rnacentral:rRNA from 1 species